rnacentral:rRNA from 1 species
UGGCCAGACUCCUACGGGAGGCAGCAGUGAGGAAUAUUGGUCAAUGGACGCAAGUCUGAACCAGCCAUGCCGCGUGCAGGAUGACGGCUCUAUGAGUUGUAAACUGCUUUUGUACGAGGGUAAACCCCGAUACGUGUAUCGGGUUGAAAGUAUCGUACGAAUAAGGAUCGGCUAACUCCGUGCCAGCAGCCGCGGUAAUACGGAGGAUCCGAGCGUUAUCCGGAUUUAUUGGGUUUAAAGGGUGCGUAGGCGGUUUGAUAAGUUAGAGGUGAAAUGUCGGGGCUCAACCCCGCCCAGCCGUCGGAACUGCCGGGCUAGAGUGGGCGAGAAUUGCGCGGAAUGCGUGGUGUAGCGGUGAAAUGCAUAGAUAUCACGCAGAACUCCGAUUGCGAAGGCAGCGCACCGGCGCCCUACUGACGCUCAGGCACGAAAGCGUGGGUAUCGAACAGGAUUAGAUACCCGAGUAG